AAACUGUCUACGGCCAUACCACCCUGAACUCGCCCGAUCUCGUCUGAUCUCGGAAGCUAAGCAGGGUCGGGCCUGGUUAGUACUUGGAUGGG
rnacentral:miRNA from 1 species